AGAGUUUGAUCCUGGCUCAGAACGAACGCUGGCGGCGUGCUUAACACAUGCAAGUCGAACGCGAAAGGGGACUUCGGUCCCCCGGUAGAGUGGCGCACGGGUGAGUAACGCGUAGAUAAUCUACCCCUGUAUUUGGGAUAACAACUCGAAAGGGUUGCUAAUACCGGAUACACUUUUCUGGACGCGAGUCUGAGAGAGGAAAGGUGACCUCUUCUUGAAAGUUACUGUAUAGGGAUGAGUCUGCGUACCAUUAGCUAGUAGGUAGGGUAAAGGCCUACCUAGGCAACGAUGGUUAGCGGGUCUGAGAGGAUGAUCCGCCACACUGGAACUGGAACACGGACCAGACUCCUACGGGAGGCAGCAGUGAGGAAUAUUGCGCAAUGGGGGAAACCCUGACGCAGCGACGCCGCGUGGGUGAAGAAGGCCUUCGGGUUGUAAAGCCCUGUCAGGUGGGAAGAAGUGUAUCAUGGCUAAUAUCCAUGGUAUUUGACGGUACCACCAAAGGAAGCACCGGCUAACUCCGUGCCAGCAGCCGCGGUAAUACGGAGGGUGCAAGCGUUGUUCGGAUUUACUGGGCGUAAAGGGCGCGUAGGCGGUCUUAUAAGCCAGAUGUGAAAGCCCACGGCUCAACCGUGGAAGUGCAUCUGGAACUGUGAGACUUGAGUAUGGGAGAGGAAAGUGGAAUUCCCGGUGUAGAGGUGAAAUUCGUAGAUAUCGGGAGGAAUACCGGUGGCGAAGGCGACUUUCUGGACCAAUACUGACGCUGAGGCGCGAAAGCGUGGGUAGCAAACAGGAUUAGAUACCCUGGUAGUCC
rnacentral:rRNA from 1 species